ACUGGAGCCGGUGGUCUAAACAGAGAUUGAUGACAGUUUGGAAGGCAGGAGAAAUCAGGCUUAAGAAAACAGCCGGAUCAGAUUCCAAUCGGAGGCUCAGUCUGGGGCUGGCCUUGCUGAAAGGGCCGAGCUCAUUCCAUUUCCAGCGAUGGGAGUGAUUGGGGAGAAGUGAGCCUAAAGAUUGCUGAAGUAAUUAACAUUCGCGGCUGGUUGGCAGAUCCAAUCGUCUUGUCUCGGAUGCAGGAGGAGCCGUUGAUUGGAGGUCAUUGUCUCAAGGUGACUCGGAGCAUCUGGAGCUGUUCGCCACAAUAUACGAAGCAAUUUAGUUGCAGACAGGAGCUGUGAAGAGACCGGACUCCUGCCCUCUGGUGACUCCAAACAUUGUGGCUGACGACCCUGUCAAGGUUACAGCUCAUAGUUCAU